rnacentral:rRNA from 1 species
AUUGAACGCUGGCGGCAGGCUUAACACAUGCAAGUCGAGCGGAGAGAGGUAGCUUGCUACCGAUCUUAGCGGCGGACGGGUGAGUAAUGCUUAGGAAUCUGCCUAUUAGUGGGGGACAACAUUUCGAAAGGAAUGCUAAUACCGCAUACGUCCUACGGGAGAAAGCAGGGGAUCUUCGGACCUUGCGCUAAUAGAUGAGCCUAAGUCGGGUUAGCCAGUUGGUGGGGUAAAGGCCUACCAAGGCGACGAUCUGUAGCGGGUCUGAGAGGAUGAUCCGCCACCCUGGGACUGAGACACGGCCCAGACUCCUACGGGAGGCAGCAGUGGGGAAUAUUGGACAAGGGGCGCAAGCCUGAUCCAGACAUGCCGCGUGUGUGAAGAAGGCCUUAUGGUUGUAAAGUACUUUAAGCGAGGAGGAGGCUACUUUAGUUAAUACCUAGAGAUAGUGGACGUUACUCGCAGAAUAAGCACCGGCUAACUCUGUGCCAGCAGCCGCGGUAAAAC